rnacentral:rRNA from 1 species
GGACGAACGCUGGCGGCGUGCCUAACACAUGCAAGUCGAGCGGGGUUGAAGCGAGGGGUAACUCGGACUUCUACCUAGCGGCGGACGGGUGAGUAACGCGUGGGCAACCUGCCUCAAGGUUUGGGAUAACAGCUCGAAAGGGCUGCUAAUACCGGAUACGCUCAUCUAGUCAAAAGAAUAGAUGAGGAAAAGGGGAAACCCGCAGACAGAUGGGUCCGCGUCCCAUUAGCUAGUUGGAGGUGUAAGAGACCCCCAAGGCGACGAUGGGUAGCCGGCCUGAGAGGGUGACCGGCCACACUGGAACUGAGACACGGUCCAGACUCCUACGGGAGGCAGCAGUGGGGAAUCUUCCGCAAUGGGCGCAAGCCUGACGGAGCAACGCCGCGUGAGUGAAGAAGGCCUUCGGGUUGUAAAACUCUGUCAUCAGGGAAGAAGAAAGUGACGGUACCUGAGGAGGAAGCCCCGGCUAACUACGUGCCAGCAGCCGCGGUAAAACGUAGGGGGCGAGCGUUGUCCGGAAUUACUGGGCGUAAAGGGCGCGUAGGCGGUUAUCCAAGUCAGGGGUGAAAACCUUGGGCUCAACUCAGGGCCUGCCUCUGAAACUGGUAACUUGAGGGCAGGAGAGGGGAGUGGAAUUCCCAGUGUAGCGGUGAAAUGCGUAGAUAUUGGGAGGAACACCAGUGGCGAAGGCGGCUCUCUGGCCUAACCCUGACGCUGAGGCGCGAAAGCGUGGGGAUCAAACAGGAUUAGAUACCCUGGUAGUCCACGCCGUAAACGAUGGGUGCUAGGUGUAGGAGGUAUCGACCCCUUCUGUGCCGUAGUUAACACAAUAAGCACCCCGCCUGGGGAGUACGGCCGCCAAGGUUG